rnacentral:misc_RNA from 1 species
GAUGAAGAACGCAGCGAAAUGCGAUAAGUAGUGUGAAUUGCAGAAUUCAGUGAAUCAUCGAAUCUUUGAACGCACAUUGCGCCCCUUGGUAUUCCAUGGGGCAUGCCUGUUCGAGCGUCAUUUGUACCUUCAAGCUUUGCUUGGUGUUGGGUGUUUGUCCAUUCUCUUGCAGAGGGACUCGCCUUAAAGUAAUUGGCAGCCAGUGUUUUGGUUUUGAAGCGCAGCACAAGUCGCGAUUCAACGCUAUACGCCAGCUUCCACAAGCCUUUUUCACUUUUGACCUCGGAUCAGGUAGGGAUACCCGCUGAACUUAAGCAUAUCAAAAGCGGAGGA